ACGGCGAUCGAACUUAAGCUGCCAAAAUACUCCAACAACAAUAGAUUAUGAAUGACAACAAUCACAGGGACAUCAAAUUUAAUAUAUUAUUAUUAGCGCUACUUUCUGCUGGUAUUUGUAGUAUGUUGGUGGUGGUGUUGCUGUUGUGUUUUGUUUGCAGGAUACAUAUAGAUUUUGGAACGAAAAUUAAACGAAAAAACGUCAUAUAGCCUAGUUAUGCAUGAAAGUGGUGUUAGUCCAACCAAGUCAGAUUUUCCUUGUUUGUUCUUAACCUGAAUACAGAUUCAGUCGGUUUGAAUGAUUUGCUGGACUUAUCAAGCCUGUUCCAAGGAACCGAGAAGUAUCCUGAGUAUUGUAAAUACUUUACCUAAAAUGAUACAAAGAUGGAAUCAUUUUUGUAUUAGACUAAAUAUUUUUCAGAAACUGUAUAUUUGAGGCUGAAGUGUCAACAAUUAACAAAGGUUUGAUGAAACAUAUGUUUCAUGUACAACAAUAAGAAAAUAGUUGCACUCAGAAUGAGUUGGGUUGUGUAAAAACCCUUAGACACUGAGCAGGCUUGCAUUUCACACUCCAAAGGACAGGCUUUUCCUCAUUUCAUUUUCAUUUUGAGUAGAUGCUUUUAUGCAUGAGUGCAGCAUACAUUUCGGAAUUCAAGCUUGACCGUUUUGUGCGUUCAUGAAUAAAAAAUAUAUGAUGAAUAAAAAGGCGUGCCUUUUGAUUGUGAAACUUACACCAGUUCUCUGCUACAUGUGAACACACAGACCACAAUCAUGCAUCCACACUCUGCUGGCACACUCAAACCCACUUUAUACCCAAAUAAAGAGAGUUAACCACACAGAGAUAUAGUAGAACCAGAGUGUGCCCGAGUCAGCGAGGAUUGGUAGCUGGAGUUAUUUAAAUAGGGCUGGGAGGAAAUGAGUCGGCUGAAGCGUUGCGUUCUUUUAGAGCUAUUGUGAGAGAUGAAAACUGAAACAGUAAACAGUAAUCCAAUGGUGGUGCUCAUCUGAAGUUAAACUGACAACUCCAAAUGUACGUGGUGCUUCCAAUGAAGUCUUGAAACACAUUUCAAUCUGAGCUUUCUGAGGCUUUCAAGACAAAGUUAUUCAAAAACAAACCCAGACCAACUGAGCUACAGUAGGUUGUAUUUCCUUGAAUUUGCUCCACGUCCAUUUUCUCAGAAUUUGGGUCAUGUCCACUUUUUCAGAAACCAGCAAGCAGUGGGGAAGGGAGACUGAAAUGUUUAUCACAGUCUAACCAGUUUUUCUCACCCUGGAUGAUUUUCGUACAGUACAGUAAUCAACAGUUAUCAAUAAAAACCACAAGAAAGCAAGGGACUGAAAAAAAGUCGAAGUAGUUUCUUCCUAUUUCCCAUUUCUUCCUAUUUCCCAUUUUCAAAGAACUCAACAUGUACAAAAAUGACUACAAAAAGACUUCCAUGGCAGAAAAAUAAUAAAACUAACAAUAACAA